rfam:Ixodes scapularis strain Wikel colony gcontig_1108378968024, whole genome shotgun sequence.
CCCUGGUUAGCUCAGUUGGUAGAGCGCUCCACCUGUAAUGGAGAGGUCCCGGGUUCGAUACCCGGACCAGGCG